rnacentral:misc_RNA from 1 species
AAUUCUCAAAACCAUUUCUUUUGGUCAUUUUUGACCAUGGAAAGGAUUUUGGACUUGGAGGCCUUUUGCUGGUUUCGCCUUGAAGCGAGCUCCUCCCAAAUGUAUUAGCGGGGUUUGCAUUGUCGGUCCUUGGCGUGAUAAGUUGUUUCUACGUCUUGGACUUUUGGCGUUGUACACCUGCUUCUAACUGUCUUAUUGACAACGAUGGUGUUCCGGUCUCCGCCGAUUUUAUCGGUGCGAGGCUUGACCCACAAAAUGAA